UAUCAAGUUCAUAUCCCCAGCAAAGGUCGAUUCCUACGACAUUUCCCCAGGAAGUGCUUUCCUCACAGACUCUCCUCGCAGAGCCUCGCCAAGCAAAGUUUCCAUAGUUGAUACUUCCCCAACAAGGUCAACCCAGCAAAGGUCGAUUCCUACGACAUUUCCCCAGGAAGUGCUUUCCUCACAGACUCUCCUCGCAGAGCCUCGCCAAGCAAAGUUUCCAUAGUUGAUACUUCCCCAACAA
rnacentral:lncRNA from 1 species